rnacentral:rRNA from 1 species
CCUACGGGAGGCUGCAGUGGGGGAUAUUGGACAAUGGGGGGAACCCUGAUCCAGCGACGCCGCGUGAGUGAAGAAGUAUUUCGGUAUGUAAAGCUCUGUCAGCAGGGAAGAAAGAAAUGACGGUACCUGACCAAGAAGCCCCGGCUAACUACGUGCCAGCAGCCGCGGGAAUACGUAGGGGGCAAGCGUUAUCCGGAAUUACUGGGUGUAAAGGGAGCGUAGACGGUUAAGUAAGUCUGGAGUGAAAGGCCGGGGCCCAACCCCGGGACUGCUCUGGAAACUAUUGAACUUGAGUGCAGGAGAGGUAAGCGGAAUUCCUAGUGUAGCGGUGAAAUGCGUAGAUAUUAGGAGGAACACCAGUGGCGAAGGCGGCUUACUGGACUGUAACUGACGUUGAGGCUCGAAAGCGUGGGGAGCAAACAGGAUUAGAUACCCUAGUAGUC